AGUGAACGCUGGCGGUAGGCCUAACACAUGCAAGUCGAACGGCAGCACAGUAAGAGCUUGCUCUUACGGGUGGCGAGUGGCGGACGGGUGAGGAAUACAUCGGAAUCUACUUUUUCGUGGGGGAUAACGUAGGGAAACUUACGCUAAUACCGCAUACGACCUACGGGUGAAAGCAGGGGAUCUUCGGACCUUGCGCGAUUGAAUGAGCCGAUGUCGGAUUAGCUAGUUGGCGGGGUAAAGGCCCACCAAGGCGACGAUCCGUAGCUGGUCUGAGAGGAUGAUCAGCCACACUGGAACUGAGACACGGUCCAGACUCCUACGGGAGGCAGCAGUGGGGAAUAUUGGACAAUGGGCGCAAGCCUGAUCCAGCCAUACCGCGUGGGUGAAGAAGGCCUUCGGGUUGUAAAGCCCUUUUGUUGGGAAAGAAAAGCAGCAGGUUAAUACCCCGCUGUUCUGACGGUACCCAAAGGAUAAGCACCGGCUAACUUCGUA
rnacentral:rRNA from 1 species